AGAAGAAGAUUGUGUUCUUCCAAAGCACAUGUUCGAUGACCGAAACAGUAUCAGCAGAUGUAUAAGGGAUCCAUUGAGGAUCCUGCUGAAUUUUGGUCUGAAAUUGCGUCUGAUUUCUACUGGAAACAAAAAUGGGGUGAUCAAGUUUAUCAUGAAAAUCUUGAUGUUACAAAAGGAAAUAUUAACAUUGAGUGGUUCAAGGGUGGAAUCACCAACAUCUAUUAUAAUUGUGUGGAUAGAUAUGUUGAAGCUGGACUUGGUGACAAGGUGAUAUUGUGGAUGAAAAGAUUAAGAAGCUUGAUGUCAAACUCAGUAGAUACAAAGAACAGAUCAAGAAAACAAGGUGAAGUAAUAAGUGCUACACCUAUUCUGUUGUCAAUAAAAGUGUUGUAGCAUGGUAAUAGUGGAGUUGAUAAAAGCAUAUCCAUCAACAAUAAACAUGGUUGAUUAUAAGGGCAAUACAACAUUGCAUAUAGCUACCAGGAAGGGUGGAACUCAGGAGAUUGUUGCUUGAUGAUUCAAGAGGUGUUGCAGAGGCCCUAAAUGAAACAGAUUGUGUUGCUGAUAAUUGCAGGGGUCUAACUGUAAAAAUUUCUUACCAACAUUCAAUUGCCAUUGCAGAGGCCCUAUAACUAACUACUUAUUUUGCAGCUCCAAGGUUAAAGACAGUCAGCCAAUUGCAAACGAUGGGUCACGGAUGAGGAAAGUCUCAGGGAUUAUUUUGCGACAUAUGGGGAGUUGAUUAAGGCUGCGAUCAUGCGGGAUCGUGCAACGGGACAUGCUCGUGGGUUUGGUUUUGUUGUGUUUGCUGAUCUUGAUGUUGCUGAAAGACUCAUUGUUGAUAAGCACAUCAUCGAUGACCGCACUGGGUUUGAAUUACUUUUUGUGAAAAUUGAAAUAGAAAACGUGUGAGCUUGUAUGAGUAUGUAUGUAAUUGGUAAAGUUUAAUCAAUUCCUUUCUCCGAAUUUGCAGGUAUUAUAUGGUGCUGAUAAUGGUGAAUCAAUUCCUUUCAGUUUUCAAGUGAUUUGAUGAAUUUACAGGUAUUAUGUGGUGAUAAUGGUGAAUUUGCAGGUAUUAUAUGGUGAAUUAAUUCCUUUCAAUUUUUCAGGUGAUUUGAUGAAUUUUCUGUACAGAUUAUUUGAAUACAUUCCAUGCACAUGAUGAAGGGAAUCUUACAUGGCUGAUAUCUGCUCAUUCUUAACUUUACUUUAUAUCAAUGGAUGGGAACAUAUUUCUGGUUGUAACUUUUGUGUUGAUAUGUUAAUGAUUUAAUUUUAUCAUUUUCCCCUUUCUGAAUCACAUCUUGCCGGUUAAUUAUAGUUAAAAUCAGUAAGGUGAUUCAAUAUAUAUGUAAUGUUUAUGUGUGUAUUUGUAUAUGUAUUCCAAGUGUUUGACAAUAUGUUCGACCCAUGAGAAUUUCUAGGAGUUGGGUGUGUUAGAAUAUGGAUGGCUUCGUUGACUUUGCAUCGCCGUAUCGUUUUAAUAAUAGGUACAUUUGCAAGUUGGCAAUUCAAGGCUGCAGAAAACAAAUCUAAUGCAGUCUUAUAAGCAGCAGUUUUAAUCAGGGAAAUGUUGUUGUGCUGGAUCCCGUACCUUCGUACACGACCGUAUCUAUGACAAGUUCUUGGAGAAAGCAAAGGCGCGGGCUUUGAGACGUGUUGUUGGUGCCACAUGGUCAUAGAGACCAAGCUGCUCUUAAAUUGCAGAAAGUUUACAAAAAAUUUCGAACCAGAAGACCACUUGCAGAUUGUGCAGUUCUUGCAGAACAAAGAUGGUAUGGUGUUAUUUUAGAAUGUUUUCAACAGCAAGACCCUUCUUUGAUGGAAAAGAUUAGGGACUGCAUUGUAGAUUAUGCACCUGUUGCAAAUCCUGAUCCACAGGUCUGGGACUCGGGUUUCUCUGUAGAAUUUCUCAAGAAGAAUAGUGUAGCUACAAAGGGACGUGUAUCCACCGAUUAGUCUGGCAUUAAAGUAUCAAUCGGCAUCAAUGAAGAUUUAGUAAAACCUGCACCAACAGAAGCAACUUUGCUGUUAAUACUAAAGAAAUUUUUGGAGGUCGUUCUGAAUCUCCAUGCAGUGAAUAGGGAAUGAUUCCUAAAUCUUAAACAGAUCAUUAUGUAGAAAUUUCUCAUAUGAAUAGUUAUGGUCCUAACUAUAAUAAUAUAGUCAAAAUGCAUGAGGCUUUCUGAUGUUUUGAGCAUGUUAUCUACAAAGCAACCAGGUUGUCCACAAUUGUACAUAUAUAAUAUAACUCUGCAGAUAAAAACUGUUCCAAUUUUCAACUCAAAAAAACACCGAAAA